rnacentral:rRNA from 1 species
UGGCGGACGGGUGAGUAAUGUCUGGGAAACUGCCUGAUGGAGGGGGAGUAACUACUGGAAACGGUAGCUAAUACCGCAUAACGUCGCAAGACCAAAGAGGGGGACCGUUCGGGCCCCUUGCCAUCGGAUGUGCCCAGAUGGGAUUAGCUAGUAGGUGGGGUAACGGCUCACCUAGGCGACGAUCCCUAGCUGGUCUGAGAGGAUGACCAGCCACACUGGAACUGAGACACGGUCCAGACUCCUACGGGAGGCAGCAUG